rnacentral:lncRNA from 1 species
CACCAUGCUUGGCUAUUUUUUUUGUAUUUUUAGUAGAGACGGGGUUUCACUAUGUUGACCAGAAUGGUCUCGAUCUCUUGACCUCGUGAUCCACCCACCUCGGCCUCCCAAAGUGCUGGGAUUACAGGCGUGAGCCACCACGCCCGGCCCAUGCUGUUUUUAUUAGGGCUCAUUGUUUGGAAAAUUGAUUCUCCUCUCUAAAAUAAUGAAGGUUUUCACCUUUUUUGAAAUCCUUGAGUUUUCACUUUGGUUAAAUACAUGACUUAUGUGACAAUGAGCUCUCAUAAGACUUAGUGUACAUUAUCAGUAAUUAUAAUUGUUAUGUUAAAUUAUUGUGUGCCACAGAGGUAACAAAUUUCCUUGUUAAUGUCUCUUUAACUAUGGCUGCCCUAAAUCGUUUUGUCAUCCAUGGACAAUUAGUGUCUUAUUUUGGUCCUCUUUAGAAGGUGGUUUUAUAAUCAGCUGUAAAACUCUAACAGGUGUUCUUGAAUGCAGGUUUCUGAUAACUUUGGAGAUUGCGACAUCAGGAUAGAGGAAAAACUUUCAGGAUUCAUGAAGAGCUGAAAUGCUUAUGAAUGUCAAGCAGAACAGGAACUAACCAUACAGACUGAACUAACAGAAGACAAGUGAGAGCAAAACCAAGUGAAGUGUGUUUCUAAUUAAGAACCUGAACCAUUUUGCCAACUUCUGUAAACUGACUAUAGCCAAAGUUCUGCUAAAUACAAGAGGAAAGAAAUUCAAGGCAAUCAAACCCAUGAAGGAUGUCAUAUUUAUUCUCUGAGAAUCCUGGAAAUUCUGGCCAUUUAUGUCAACAUUCUUCCUUAUUUGCUAUGUGUUAGUCUCCAGUGGGGUCUCUAGGUGAACAAGUCCUUAAGGAGCUCGAUCAUGUGGGGAAAGAGUCAAACAUGUCAACAUUCCACAGUUAAAAUGAUUUGGUGACAGUGAAUACAUUGCA